UUUUUUUUUUUUUGAUUAUCAUCUUCUAAAUGGAAGAGGAACAAACUGCCAAUCAUUACUCUCAAGAAAGUAUUUCCUGAAGACACCAAGCUAGGGGAGAUAUAGCUAUGGUGUAAGAAGUUUAAAAGUAGAAAAAGGGAAAAAAAAUAAUAAAAAUAAAAUUUUUUUUUAAAAAAGUAGAAAAAGGGCUGAUCUUCAUAGAGGAAUUUAAUAUCCCUACAUUAAAAGCAAAAAAAAAAAAAGAGAGAGAGAGAAAUAGCUAUAAAAUAGGCAAAUUUUGUAAGUACAACAGAUAUGAAAUAGUCAAUAAAAACAGAAAAUGUAGGAUUUACAGGGUUUCCCAGCCCAUCUCUCUACUCCAGCAGAGCACACCUGUGCUGUUGCCUAUGAAUCACUCUGCAGAGAGGCAUAUCUGUCUUCCUGCUUGGCUUCAUGUCCCUUGUGUCUUUCCAUUUCUGCCUAUCCAACUCAUUAUAGGCACUCAGUAAAUGUUUGUUGAAUGAAAAAGCAAAUCAGUGUUCUAUUUUGCAGUGAGAAUCACUUGGGUAAAACUCAAAAUUCCUGAGUUUUAACCUUGCCUCAACCACUUCCGAUGUUUGGAUAUGCAGUAAACCUCUGAUGAGAAGUCUCUUACCUUUUGAACACAAAAGAUCACAUUUACUACUUCUCCCUCACAUUGGGCUCAUGCUGAGAAAAUUUUGGACCACCAAAUCCCCUUUAUUAGGUGAUUUUUUUUUUUUAUUUUUCCCUGAGACAACCAGUGUUAAUACACUAAGUUGAUAUAAUUAUUGCCAAGAGCUGAAAAAUUACAUUUUUAUAGCCUAUAUAAUUUAUCACUGGUAAAUAUUCCCCUUUUUAAAACUGAAAAUAGAUCAUUGCUACCCUUGCAUUACUACUGUCAGAGUCCAGCCCCUAAGUUAAAAGCAAGUCUUGAUACUAUCUAUGGGUCUUUCUUAUUCCAACAAUCUUGAAAUCUGUAUAAUUUUGGGCUAUGCCCUGGAAAAGAAAAGGCUGGCACUUGAUAACAGUCUACAUCCAAAUAUAUGUGAUUAUGGAUAAUUAUUUGUGAAAUACAGGAAAAGUGAAAACAGGAAAGUAAAAUAUGAAAGGAAUUAUUGAUUUAGAUAGAAGCAAGAGGAAUGUACAUUUGCUUAAAAAAUGAAUCCUCACAACAAGCAUUUCCAUGCACAACACAGAGAUACUGAUGAAUCCCAUGGUCCUCUCUCACCAACCAGAUUCAAGAAUCCAUUCCACAGCAUCUGAGACCAGACCUAGUGCAAUGCCUUCCCAAACAAAUGAUGUACAGAUGGAGAACUAUGUUAUUUAUUAACCAUGCUCUCAGAGAAUGGGGGGCAAGGAGUAUAAGGGAGGGGAGAGAAGCAGAGCAGGAAACACUGCCUUGCCAGAAGACAGAUGAGAGCAACUAGUGAGAUGCCCAUCUGGCAUCUAGAGCAAGAAGCCUGGUCCAGCACAUGCUCUAUGCCUUUGCAGGCCCCUCAUGGCUGUUGCAGGACUCAGGAGACAUCCUCAUCCUCACUUUGCCUCAGCUACCCCGUGCCUCCAAUGGAGAUGAUCAUCUUGCCUCAUUCAACCUGCUGGAGGUAAAAUCAGGUUUAGGUACUUUGACGAGUUGAAGAGUUAUGAAGCUAUAGAGUCAUUUUGAGUGUUUUUAAGAAAUGGAUAAGCAGAGGAGUGGAAGCCAUGGGGGAAAUAGGUGAUGGGGAUUAAGGAAAGUACUUGUCAUGAGCUAUGGGCAAUGUGUGAAAUAAUGGAACUACUAUAUCAUACACCUGAAACUAAUAUAACCCUCUUAACUAACUGGAAUUAAAAUAAAAGCUCAGAAGAAAGAGAUCAACAGCUAAAGCCUAAGAAAAA
rnacentral:lncRNA from 1 species